UGGGGAAUAUUGGACAAUGGGCGAAAGCCUGAUCCAGCCAUGCCGCGUGUGUGAAGAAGGUCUUCGGAUUGUAAAGCACUUUAAGUUGGGAGGAAGGGCUAUUACCUAAUACGUGAUGGUUUUGACGUUACCGACAGAAUAAGCACCGGCUAACUCUGUGCCAGCAGCCGCGGUAAUACAGAGGGUGCAAGCGUUAAUCGGAAUUACUGGGCGUAAAGCGCGCGUAGGUGGUUCGUUAAGUUGGAUGUGAAAGCCCCGGGCUUAACCUGGGAACUGCAUUCAAAACUGACGAGCUAGAGUAUGGUAGAGGGUGGUGGAAUUUCCUGUGUAGCGGUGAAAUGCGUAGAUAUAGGAAGGAACACCAGUGGCGAAGGCGACCACCUGGACUGAUACUGACACUGAGGUGCGAAAGCGUGGGGAGCAAACAGG
rnacentral:rRNA from 1 species